CUCCCCCUCUCUUCUCCCGACUUCUUCUCCUCCCCCCCCCCUUUUCUUCUUCUUUCUUCUCCCGCGAAGGGAGGAGGGCGAGCUCGGGGCCGCGGCCGGCGGCGCCUGCGGCCCGGCCUCUUUCUUCUCUUUUUCUUCUUCUUCUUCCUCUUCUUUCUUCCUCUUCUUUUCUCUUCUUCCUCUUUCUUCUUCUCCUUUUUUUUCUUUCUUUCUUUCUUUCUUUCUCUCUUCUAUUUGAUCUAUUUUCCCGAGUGGAUCGGGAGGAGGAAAGGCAGUAAAGAAAGGGGUAAUAGACGGAUCUUACCUCACUAAUUAGAGCAGGGGGCGAGGGUGGUGAAGUCCAGCGAGGAGAGGCCCCGGCGGAGGAUACCGGAGGUAGAACCCAGCAUGAGCGAGGACGGCGGCGAACAUCACGCGGCCGGAGUGCCCAGAUCUGGCAACAUCCCGGUCCGAGAACAAGGAGAGAACAGGGAGGAGGGGGUUCCAGGAACGGAGGCAAACGACGCAUUCUGCUUCAUCACUUGGCUCGAAGGAGCUGGCUGGAGUUCUGAUGAAAGAUGGAGUGAGAAAGGCAGGCAUGAGCCUUCGAAAGAUGGAGUUGAUAGGGAGGAUCAAUAUGGCAAGAUAGCGGAGUAGUAGACUGGGAAAAGGUUGAGGAAGAAGGUGUGCUGUUGAUGCCAUUGGGUAGGACUUUGGGUGAUACAAGGAUGGUGGAAGGGCCUCUUAAAUAGAAGGAAUCUGGGGUGCAAGCCGAAUUGCUAUUGGCGUGUUCCUUAUGUUUCAUGAUGUUCAUGACUGCAAGCCAAUCACAUCCACUCCGUAUCCAUGGGGCAGACCGACGACGACUCGAGGGCCCCAUCAUCCAUGCCAAUAGAAAUAUGAUACAUCAGGACAAGAAGGCCGGUGGCUGUCUCUGAAAGGAAUCAGCUGAGCUAGGCCGCAAUGGCAAUUCUGCUAGGACCAUCUGUGAGUGGAGGUAGGAAGUUUGUUCCUUGGAUAUUUCCAGGAAAUGGGGACAAGAAGACUUGUAGCGUUCGAGCUAUAAUUUAGUGGAGAAGCUUGGACAGAUUGAAACCUACGAAGUCCAAAUUGUUUGUGGCAACCAAGUCCAAAUUGUAGCCGAGGUCGAUUCAUCUAUUCAGGAAUGUCUUUAUCGUCUAUAUUUCCUAGUACUGUUGAGUAAAGUAAGAAGAAAAGAUUGUUUGGAAAAAAA